rnacentral:misc_RNA from 1 species
AGGAAACAUAAAAUCAUCAUCUUCAGUUUUGAAAGACUUAGUCAAGUUUUUCUGAUUUAUUUUGUUUUUUGAUAUCCUGGGCCUAUAGCUCAGUUGGUUAGAGCACACGCCUGAUAAGCGUGAGGUCGGUGGUUCGAGUCCAUUUAGGCCCACCAAACGUCUUAAGCGUGUUAUCAAAAAAA